UUUAUGGCUGUUGUUGGAGCGGCAGAAAAGAGCUGUAUAGAGAGACGCUGCUCCCAAGCACUGAAACAUGCUCGGUGCGUGCUGAUCAUUGCCUGCAGCUGUUUUAAAUGCAGCCAACUCCAUAGCUCCCACAGAGCCGAGGGGAGGGAAGCAAAUGCACGCUCAGGUGCAGUGGUCUGAAAGCCAGAACUGACAACGAGCCUGGCAGCGGGAAGAAGCGAUCCGCUCGCACGUGAAUUAAUUGAAAGCAGGGAUUAUAUCCUCCGGCGGAGGGUUACCAGCCUCUCGCGCUCGGCCACAACGCAUAACGUAACUGAAAGCUGCUGAUGCGUCUGAGGGGAGCAUUUUGUCAAGGGCUCUCCGAUUGGCCGAAGGGACCCUGCAAUGGUUUGUCGGGAAGAGCCGAGCCUCCUGAUUGGUUGCGUUGCACCUGCAAUGCGUCAAGUAAUGAUGCCCGAAAGUAAAUGUGCUGGGGCUUGGCUUUCCUGUGAAUGGCUGCCGCGCAGCGGCGGGGGAGUAGUGCCCUUCGCACGCGGGAGCUGGCUGCAGAGUGGCGCGCGCGGGGGGCAGAGGCUCGGUGCGCGCUUUUGUUGGGAGGAUGCGCGUGCAGAUCCAGCAAGCAGCCGUAGUAGCCUGCGUUGGAGCUGCCGCUUCCUGGUCUGAUACUUGCAGCGGUGGCGGGGACUGGGCUCAGGCGAAUCAUCAGAAUCCUGUUGUUGAAAGGUGAGUCAGCAACAAGUCUGUGAACACAAGUAGAGCCUGAGUUCUGUUCAAAUGGAUUUGACUGAGACUCACAGUUCUGUGGUUGAUCCUACACAAGGAAUGGAGAAGGGCAGAACCCAUGAACUCCUCUUGAGGUACUGAAGAAUUGGUGCUGUAAAUGGAGCAGUGAAGUGAAGUAAUGAGGUGCCUGCUGAUAGAAGAGGAUUUAAGGCCUCAUUGGGGAGAAGAGUCUGUGAUGGCUGCUGCAUCUGAGAGGAAGACAGAUCCUGGGAGAAGGCCUGAGACAGCUGUAGCAGAGAAUGGGUAAAGGGAGACACCAAACAUACAGACAGAAGAAUAAGACAGAAGAAUAAUUCAGAAGGAAGGAAUGGUCCUACUUUCCUGCAGGAAACCAGGUAAAGUGCCAGGCUCUGUCAUAGAAUCAUAG